UUGUAUGGUGUCACAGCUGGAAAUGUUCCAAAAACAGCAGAGAAUGUCUCAAAGUAGGUCUGUUCCCAAGGACUCCACUCGUUCCUCUUCUGACUGUGACCAAAUCUCUGACAAGAAGCAACCUCAGGAGGAAGGAGAUAAUAUGUCUGCUGCUCUCAGGAGGAAACAACUGAUAUUAACUGAUGGACUCUUCUCAUGCUGUUAGACUUUGCUCAUGUCUUACUCCAGUACCUCCUUACUUGUGACUUUCUGUAGUCACCUGACUUUCUUGGAACAGGGGAACUUUCAAAGCGCUUCACCAAGAUUAUCUCUCAGAUGUAUUAUUCAAUGUAAGACAAUAGCUCUGGACUUUGUGUUACUGUCCUGCCCAUCCUCUGUAUAAAGGUUAGUUACAUGUGUUGAACAGAACUCAAACCGUUCAGUGUUUUACAGAUUUGGAGGCUCAUCUGAGACUUUUGACAUCUGAGUGCUCCUGAUGAAGCCAGCAUAGGAACUUACUUCACAAAGAGUGCAAGAGCCAAGUUUCUGUGGAAUUCUUGAGAGCAUUAUGGUUGGGUAAGGCACAAGUGAUGCCCACUAAUGUGUUUAGGGAAAGUCUGCAAUGGCUGGAGCCUGUAAAUGUCAAAAUAUCCAAAAGAUAAAAACUCAUGCUCUUAGAAGCUGGUUAGUUUGAAGGUGGUUAAUUGAGAAUUAACUAGAAGAUGCUUAGCUGGGAAUCCCAGUGUGAGGACCAAGUUACCUCCCUAGGAGUUGUUAACCACAGAGGCCGUAGAGGCCCCCACAGCAAUAAAGGCCACAGUUGGUUUCAUUCCAGAACUGAAUAAUUAGGUCCUGUUGCUGAAUAGGUUGCAUUGUUUGGUUUCCAGACUUGGAGAACAAAGCUAGGCCUGGGAUCCAAGCAUCCCAUCCCUGUGAGUGAGCUCCUGAAGUGCCAGAAGUUGCUACUAAGAAUGCUGGGGAGAAUUAAAACCCAAAGUCCAAAUUUGCUGUGGAUCCUGCGCACAUCAUGAUGGAAAUACCAGGCGGAAUGUGCCAGCUGGUACAGGAGUGGACCAAGUGGUUAUAGAGAGAACCAACUUUCUGAUUAGACUGAAGGCUUGCUUCACAGGGGGAAAUUCAUAUCCCAUACUGGGGAUGCAGACAAAAACAGUAAAAAGGGAAGUCAUGAGCUCCAGUGGAAAAGCACCUGCUAUUGACUGGCUUAAAGGAUGUAGCCACUAAAACAGCUUCUCCACAUUGGUAUUCACAGUUGUCCCGCACUACCUCCUGCCAGCAGGAACGAUGCGGCACACACAGGAUCCUUCUGCAGUACAAGCUUUAAUGCAUCUUGAGAGCGAGAUCACAAGCUUCAGUUGAGGAGGACCCCGACUAUCUCAAAACCCUUCCCUUAUAUAGAGCUCUAUGCCCGCCUCAGACGUGGCGACUCAUAAUAGGCUAUGGGACGAUCAGGCCAUCUGACGUGACCAAAGACACUCCGCCGCGGAUACAGGGGAUUUACAGGCACACGCGCACAAGGCAUUUUUAUGCCAACGGCAAGCCGGAUGUCAUCGCCAUCUUGUAAUGGCGAUGUGCUUACGACAUGGCUUCCCACAUCCAGUCAUGAGUUACCACUACAGUCUGUGUCUGCUGGGAUAUUUUUCCAUUUCCUGGUUUGUGUUCUUUUCCUCACUUGUGUUUUGUAGUAGGAGUCACCAUCCACAUGACUCAACAACUGCCACAUUCUGGAAUGGAGGGAAGAGCAGAAAGACAUGAGGAUGUGUUCCGUUGCUGGAGUGGGAGGAACAGACACACAUCUGUAUCACCCUAUCCCCAGCUCAGGGGCCAUUGCGGAAGAGGGGGCAGAAAGAAUGUAAGAGCCAGAGGAUGGGGUGGACUGUGUCAUGGGUGACUGUCCUCCCAGACAAGCAAAUGACAUCUGAGGGAGGCUGUAUCUGAGGCUGCAUGAAAAGACCAUCCCAGUGAGGGCUGCUGAAGAAGCCCCACCCCAGCAGAUGUUCACCAAGGUAUCCAGCUACUCCCUAUCACCUAGCAAGGCUGCAUGUGGCAUUAGGGAAGAGCUAAAGUAUAUAAGACCAGGGAAGAGGAGUUUUAGCAACUUAUGGUGUGAGAUCUUCCACACUCAAACCUUAAGGGGAACACUUUAACUUGAAGACAGACUCAGAAAGCUUUGUGCUUCUCUUAAGAUGUCCUUGUCCAUGUUUUCUCUCAAGAGUGAUGUGGCAGGAGGGGAGGACACUUAAAAUGGAAUUAACUUUUAGGUUAACAGAAAGACAAGGGAAGCAGUAGCAUGGGGUAGAUGAUUAUGGUGCACACCAUAAUGCAACCCUAUUCAUCAAAACACAAUCCCUACUUUGCACAGUUAAUGUAUACUGGUUUAUUCCUUUUAAAACUUCUGUUGAUAUACAUUAACUGUGCAAAGUAAAGGAUGUCAAAGAAAAUUGAAUUAUGAUCUCCCAUUUUUCUAUUCUUUGACACAGAAGCCAAUGAUUCGGCAUCAUCCGAACAGAGACAAACACAAUAGCCAAGGCAUUAAUCUGAGCUUAGUGGUUUGUGACAUCAGAGACAGGCAUGCACUUUGUCCUGACAACAGCAUCUUUUACAUAAAAUGUGGAGGUAGAGGCAACAAGAAAUGAACUUGAAAAUAAGUGAUUACUAGAGAAUUAUCAAGGUCAAUCCCUACCACAUAAAAACAGCACCACUGGCACCUUCACAUAGACACCAUGGUGGAAGAUUCUGGGGGUGUAGGCAUGGGGCACACCACACACCUGCCAACAGGGGAGCCCAUGCAUCAUUCCUGGAACUGACAGCAAAGGGGUGCGCAGGACCAGGAGGCCACUAAGACACUAAGGAAUUGUCUUUAGCCCAUUUAGGGCACAACCUGUAACAGAACAGACACACGGGAUCAAGAGUACUGAGUUAGGGAGGACAGAGACUGCUCACAUUGUGACAUGAGCUAGGUGACCCAUGUCCUGGUGGACAAGCCACUUGAUUCUCAUUGAGUUUCCCACUACCUGGGGCCUAAGGUGUUCUGUGCACUAAAGCAGUGUUCUGCUUACCCAUCAGCUCUGGCAGUGGGUCAUCUGGAUGCAACUUGGACAGGGUCAAUCUUUGGGGAAACUACCAGAGACCCCUGUUGUCCAUUAGAAACAGUCAUGUGGGACAGUUGAACGCUUGUGUUUCUCCCAGGGCUUCAGUCCAACUGGCUAAGAUGGGUACAACCUUAUUGCCUGGGGGUUAUAUGGCAGAUGAGUGCCAUGCUACAUGGUGUUUCUAAGGACUACCAGCAUGUUCUGCAAAAUGAGUGCCCUGGUCAUUGAUAACAAGGUUGGGUAGCUGUGCAUCACAUGAAUUGCUCACAGCUUUAGAAGGUCAACAUCGAGUAGCUCCCUCACUAAGGAAAGCAGCCAGUGACUGUGUCUACAUGCACAUGCAUGUCCUUUUCUGUUUCAUAAAAGAGAACAUCUAACAAUCCCAUACUUGUAUUGCUGCUCAUGUAGGUCACAUGACAGGGCAAAAGGUAGAAAUAUACCUGUCACUGGGUUGUAACCACCACAGAGUCACGAUAUUUUAAGGGCAAUAUCUCUGCCCAGUUAUCCCUGCUUUACCCCCAUUUUAGCACUUCCAAUAAAACUUUCUACAUAUCCACAGCACCGUGUCUGCUACUGCUAGGUCAGGGUUGUCAUUUCUUGUGCCUCAGUAAAGCCAUCUCCAACUUUCAAGCAGGCAGGAUACUUAUGUACCAACAUACUAUCUAGUGACCAUGACCACACAAAUUGCUAGUGUGGUUGCUCAGACAGAUUAUUGUUAUCUAUUAUAGAUUAUCCUCCAGUAGAGAACAUGAUUCUCUUGCCACACACGUAGGCCUCAGUGCCCUGUCCACUUGUAAAACCAUUCAGCAGCCAUGUUUCAUAAGAUACAGGAAAUUAUGCAGUCAAAGCCCCACCCUCAUAUUGCUGACUUCCUGUGCCAGACCUCUCAAGGCAAAUUGUAAUGCAGAAAUGUACAAGACACUUGGGUUUCCUGCUUGAGUCUUCUGUUUAUCAGAUAAUGUCAGAUAUGUGCUUCCUUCCCUCAUGCCUCAGACGUUUCAGAGGUCACCUGAGACGGUGAGGCAUUUGCAUAGAUUAAAUGACCCCAACAGCAGCCAAAAGAGGACCAAUAAGCUGUGAUGCCUUGGUGGUGUAGAUCCACAUGCCACUAAUACAGAGCAGACUGAGGCAGAGUGGCCCAUCUAUGCUCUAAGACCCUUAUCAAAUUUCUCAUCAGAAACCCUAGAUCUCAAAAGACAGUGGUUGAUUCAUUACAAAUUAUCCUGAAAAUCUUGUCAGGCCAUAUUAGACAAGUAUUCUUAAUUCUUGGGAAACGGUGCCAUGCCACCUUGCCACAAAUGCCUUGUUUUGGGGUCAUUUAUAAGCCUCAAAAAUUGAUUUCUUGUGUUGAAGAUGGUUGAUUCAAGACUGAGAAACCAAGAGAUGUAAGGUGGGAAGAGGGCUGCUUUUUUUUCUACCUUAUAUUGUUGUCACAUGGUCUUGCAUAGGACUGAACUCAGUUCUUACAGCUGUUUCCUUAGUGCAGUGUCUUCUCUCAUGGCUGCAUGAAUGCCCAGGCCUUGCCGCCUCCUGAAGGACCCCACCUCUUAGUACUCUUACAUUGAAGCUAAAGUUUCCACAGUGUUGGAGGGAAGCAGACUCAGCCCUGAGAGCACACAAACUACAGCUGGUCACCACUAGCAUACCCUGCCUGAGCAAAUCCUUCAGGUUCAACUGGCACAUGACAGUUAUCAGAGAAGAUGCUAUUGGGAGGAUGAGACAGAGGAAUCAGCACUUUAAUGUCAUACUUAUAUAAUAUGAAAAGAAAGUUCAAAGUGAGUAGAUUUGUCUUCUCCAUGAUCUACAUUACUAAUGUGUCAAAAAUUGUUACUCUUUGUUAUUGUAUGCACAUGUGUAACCCAGCAGCUGGGGACACUGAGGUUGAAGAGGUGUCUUGCAUGUUCCUGAAGCACUGCUAUAGCUUACUCUAGACAGCUGUCACUUUUGCAUUUAAAUGGAAUCCUCAUAGGAACCACAGAGAAGCAGCCCUACAAUGUACACUAGCAAACUCCCUGGGGAGAUAAUGAGAAAUCAAGAGAGGGGCUUUGUUAGCAAACAUUCAAGUAUCACAAGGAAGUAAAACUUUUCUACACAUCACUGCACUUAAGCUUAAGGUAUGAAUUCGGGAGGGGGGGUUGAAUAGGAUUUUUAUGCCAACCAGAGGCAGCCUGUAUGUGUCACUCUGAGAUGAGUGGCAGAUUCUGGGGUACAGUACCCACAAUCACCCUUGACCAGUUCUAUUCUCAUCUGCCUGCCCCCAACCUCCCCUUUCUCUGUGUAUGUGUUUCAUCUGUGUGUGCAUGUUCGUGUGCAGUUUCUCAUGAAGGCCAAAGGUCAACCUCAGAUGCCCCCUCCUAUAGGUGUCCACUUUGGUUUUUGAGAAAUGUCUCCCACCAGUUCUUGAGUUCACCAGUUCAGCUACUCUUUUCUGUGCCUCUCCAGAAUAGGGAUAACCACAGUAUGCUACUGUACCCAACUUUGUAUGUGGGUGCCAGGACUAGAACUUUUUGGUCUUCAUGCAUUUCCAGCAACAAAUACUGAGUCAUCUCCCAAGCACUGCCCCCAAAUUCUAGUGUCUUAAUCUACAGAAUGUGCACCAUGGUGGUUAAGUCUCUUGGCAUUGCCAUGGGCUGCCUGUCAACUGUGCAACUCCCUGGAAGGCCAUGUCUGAAAGUCCCUGUCCAGAGGUCAAGAGGGGCCUGGCCAUCUGAAUAUGGAUGAAUAUGGAUGAAAAGUACUAAGAAAAUCCUGCCUAGUGAUCAGACUGUCACCAGACUAGUGGAGUUUCAGCUCCUGAUCUCUUUCUUACUAAGACUGGUCCUUUCUGAGGCAUCACGGUGUCUCUAUCCCAUUUCUUUCUUUGGGAGUUGCAGGUGAAUUCCCCUUGUCACUUCGCAUCUUGGGAUGGCACUGCUCCUGUUUCUGACUCCUUUUCUCUGUAUCCAAAUCCACCCCUACCCAGAAGGACCCUGGUCAUUGGCUUAGGGUCCCCUCUGCUUGCCUUCAAUUAACAAAAUCCACAGCAACCAUUAGUCCAGAUAAGAUCUCAUCGGUACCUGAACUUGGGGCUCAACUUCAAAGUUGGGGAAUGGGCUGUGGACUUAGCUCAGUUGCAGAGUGUUUGUCUGCAUGCACUCCUGAGUUCUCUGCAGCACAUAAAUUGGGCAGAGUGGCCCACACAAGAAAAAAGAUGCUUUGACGCUAAGUUUACCAUCUCUGUCACCAUGACACAAAUGUGCAACUAGAAGAAUGAAAGAGAUGAGUUUAUAACAGCUUGGCUGAUCUCAAGGAACUCUGACAAUAAAAAUCUCUAAAUAUCACAACUGAGUGACUAAAACCAGGGUAUGACUAAGCAGAGAGGCAGAGAUUCCAAAGGUUAUCCAUGUGAGCAAGGUCUGAGAGGGAGGGCAGGAAGGUUUUGUAUUUUAUUUAAUGCUUAAAGGUUCUUAUAGUUGGGGAGUUGUGUUAAGUAGGUCAUGAUGCCUAUAAAAAAUAAUUAAGCCACUGAACUAAAUCUGUCAAGUAUAAAGGAGAAAAGUAAUUCAUUAUAAAAGAUAAAAUCAAUCAUAAUUUGUAAAUUAUAGUACAUUCUUCAGUGAUCAAACUGAAAUAUUAUAAUAAACUUUUAAGUUUGGUGCCCCA